UAUAUUUUCUUCUACGAAAUAUAGAAAUAUCAUAUAUAAUAUAAUUUUAUUUAUUUUACUAUAUAAUAUUUGAUUUUUGAAAUAAAAUUUCUUUUUAAAUAAAUCAUGUCUGCGAAUGUGUCACAUACAGAAAAAGAAUUAGAUUUAAGUAAUGCAGGCAGAGGUGUAUGGCUUGUGAAGGUACCUAAAUAUAUAGCAAAUAAAUGGGAAAAAGCACCUGGCAAUAUAGAAGUUGGUAAAUUAAAGAUAACUAAAAAUCCUGGUCAAAAAGCAGAAGUAUCUCUUAGAUUAUCUGAAGCUGUUUUAGCUUUAAAAGAACCUGGAGAGGAAGAAAUUCCAAAACAACAUAGAUUAGAUGUUACAACAGUAACAAAACAAAUGUUAGGUGUAUUUUCUCAUGUUACUCCUUCAAGUAGUUCAGAUUCUAUAGUUCCUGAAACUGAAAAACUUUAUAUGGAAGGAAGAAUUGUACAAAAAUUAGAAUGUCGUCCAUAUGCUGAUAAUUGUUAUAUGAAAUUAAAAUUACAAAGUAUUAAAAGGGCUUCUGUACCACAAAGACAAGUUCAACAAUUAGAUAGAGUAGUCCAAAAUUUCAAACCAGUUUCUGAUCAUAAGCAUAAUAUUGAAUAUGCAGAAAAGAAAAAAGCAGAAGGUAAAAAGAUGAGAGAUGAUAAAGAUGCAGUAUUGGAUAUGUUAUUUGCUGCAUUUGAAAAACAUCAAUAUUAUAACAUAAGAGAUCUUGUGAAGAUUACAAGACAACCUAUUGUAUAUCUAAAGGAAAUAUUAAAUGAAGUUUGUAAUUAUAAUUUGAAAAAUCCUCACAGAAAUAUGUGGGAGUUAAAACCAGAAUAUCGGCAUUAUAAAGAAGAAGAAAAACUUGAAGAUAUACAAAAAAAAGUUGAUGAAUCAGAUGAUGAUUAAAAGUAUUCAGUUUUUUUAAACAUUUACAAAAGCUUGAAACAUCAACAUAGGAUGACAUCCACAUAAAACUUUAAUUCCGAUUUUAUCAUUUGCUGGAAUAAAUAUAACAGAACCUCGAUAAAGAAUUUUUGAUGGAGGACGAAAUACUUCUGUACAUUCAUCUUCACGAGAAGGUUGAAAUCUUUUUGCAGAAAUUGGUUCACAAAUGUAACUUAACAUUUCAAUUAAUGUUGGUACAUCUUUUAAUUUAGAAGUCAAUCCUGCACGUAUUACAUUAUCAGAGCAUGCCAUGCAUUCUAUACAAUCUAUAAUUUUAAUAUGUU